UUUAAUUCCUUUGGAUAAAUACUCAGAAGUGGGUUUGCUGGAUUCCUUGGUAGUUCUGUUUUUACUUUUUUGAGAAGCCUUUAUACUGUCUUCCGUAAUGACUGCACCGGUUUAUGUUCACCAGCAGUGCCCCAGGGCUCCCACCCACCAGCACCGGCUAUCUCUUGUCUUUUUGGUAACAGUCAUUCUAACAGGUGUGAGGUGAUACCUCAUUGUGGUUUUGAUUUUGCAUUUCCCUGAUGCCGUUGAGUACUAUUUCGGUACCUGUUAGCCAUUCGUAUGUCUUUUUUCUUUUUGUCAUUGAGUUGUUCCAACAACAAGCACAACAAUUGUAAAUUCAGGGGAAAAUGUAUGUUUUGUAUAUAGAGGACAAAGUAAUAAAAGCACAUUUUAUGUAAAAUAAAAAAAAAUUUUCUUUCAAGUUUUAUGAGUGUAACUUGUUUUCCAAAGGACUUAAGACAAUGAAUAAUGCUUGAAAUUUUAUAGCAGAGGGUGUCCAACUUUAAGCAUGAAAAGGAAAAGACAUAUUGAAAUGUUAGUAUCUGCUUAAUAAGUAAAAAGAAGUUACGAGGUUUUAAGAGAAAGGAGAAGGAGAGUAAGAGAAGGAAUUCAAAAAGCAGCUUUUGAAAGGCUUAAUUAAAUCAUGCAAGUGUGGAGAGAUCUCAGAUAAUGGAUAAAAAUGUCAAUGUAAAUGGUCUAAAAGGUGGAAUAGGAAAGAACUAGCCUUUGGCAUGCCUGUGGCUAUGAAUGGUUUGGCUGAGAGGAGGUGUGAGAAGGGAAGACCGUGGUGUAGGGAAAG